UGGGGAAUCUUGGACAAUGGGCGAAAGCCUGAUCCAGCCAUGCCGCGUGUGUGAAGAAGGUCUUCGGAUUGUAAAGCACUUUAAGUUGGGAGGAAGGGCAGUAACUUAAUACGUUGCUGUCUUGACGUUACCGACAGAAUAAGCACCGGCUAACUCUGUGCCAGCAGCCGCGGUAAUACAGAGGGUGCAAGCGUUAAUCGGAAUUACUGGGCGUAAAGCGCGCGUAGGUGGUUUGUUAAGUUGGAUGUGAAAGCCCCGGGCUCAACCUGGGAACUGCAUUCAAAACUGACAAGCUAGAGUAUGGUAGAGGGUGGUGGAAUUUCCUGUGUAGCGGUGAAAUGCGUAGAUAUAGGAAGGAACACCAGUGGCGAAGGCGACCACCUGGACUGAUACUGACACUGAGGUGCGAAAGCGUGGGGAGCAAACAGGAUUAGAUACCCCUGUAGUCCCUGAGCGGGCUGGCAAGGCGCAU
rnacentral:rRNA from 1 species